ACCAAGUUCCGAAUCAGCACGUCCUCCAGGGCGGCCGCGCGCCCCUCCCCCGCCGGCGCCCCCGCCCGGACCGCGGCCCCAACAGCCGCCGCCGCCGCCGCCGGCCCCGCGCGCUCGGCCCGGGUCUCAGCGCCGGGGCCGGGGCGGCGGACGCGCCCCAGGGGGGCAGCAGACUCCCAUCGCCGCCGGAGCGCCGACCCAACACCGUGCCCCCGACAGAGCCCGCUCCUCCGCUAAAAAUAGGCUCCCAAGGAGUCGGCCUCAUGAUGGCUCCUUGAUCCAAUUUGCUGCACAUUCUUCCCUGAAAGCCUCCCCCCACACAUACACACUCAAAGGGGGUGUCCGUGCACCGAGGCUGGACGAGGGGGAGCAGGCCGAGGUGCACAUUUUCGGGGACAACAACAUAAUCAGGAGAGAAGGAGAGAGUCCUGAAGACGGAGAAAGAAUGGUGGUCUUCAGUUUGUUCUUCACGUAGCAGAGACCCAUGCCUCUUGAAGCAUUGUGGGGAGAACUUGUAGAGGAAGGACUGCAUGGUGUACAUAGAGAGGCUCUACAUGAGACUCUGGAGUUUUCGGUCCUGGCAGAGAGUUCUGUGCCAACCUUGGCAGAAAUCAGCAGAGCCGUCUGAACUUACGGGAGCAUGAGAGCUUGGACAGUGCACACAUGGGUGAAGUCUGCUAUGGGUUGAAGACAAGAAGGAUUGAUCUAAACAACAUAAAUCAAUCUAGUUGAAGAUAAGUUUGAAGUUGGAAUCAGACAACUCAAAUUUUCCUUCUGAAGAACUACACACUUGGGUGGCCAUUAGAACCUGGAUGCAGUUAAACCAGAUGAAGAUUCUAUUUCAUCCAUUAUUUGAAGUGUGAAAAGGACAACUUUAUCAUUAGCCUUCCAUCUGCUCAUGUAAACGUGGACAUUUACCUUCAGCAAUGAUGAUGGAGUUCUGUUUUCUGGUAGACAGGAGUUUGGAUGCACAGCAGAAAAUGUGGUUGAGAAAUUGGAAAGCUACUACAAACAUACUCUGGUCUGGAGAGGCAGUAUGAAGUGUGCACUGAAGGAAGACCUGGGACUGCGUUUUAGCUCUGCCACCUCGAGGGUGAGUGAACUUGUGCAAUCAUGUUGUAACUUUUAUCUUGUCUAUCUCAAAGGGUUCUUGUGAAGAAUACAUGUGCUAAUAUGUGGGAGUUGUUAUUGUUAUCAUACGAUUUAAAGUUGAUGGUAAUAG